rnacentral:tRNA from 1 species
GAGGGUAUAGCUGAGUCUCAGAGUGUGUGCUUGGCAUCCAUAAGGUCCUAGGUUCAAUCCCCAGUACCUCCA